AAAGUUUUUAUUAUGCAUUUUCAGUGUAUUAGCCACAUGACUUGGUCAUGCACACAAUACGGGGUAAUAAAUUUUUCAUUCUUUGUAUAAAAAUAUUACAUAUAUCAUAACAUUAUAAUUUCCAUUGUUAAUCAUGGGUAGUCAUGGUGAUUAUACUGUAUCAUAAUACGCCGGUUUCGAGAUACGUCCGAGUUAUUUCCCUUUGAAGAACUCUCGUACAUAGUAAGGCGCGAAACAACUUGUUUACAUGCAGGAGUGGGACGAAUAUUCAUCACUACAUAAGUAAAUGUAUUUAGUAUUCUUCCUAUACGCUGUUUCAUCACCUGAAUUCAACUGAUACACAAACUAAACUGGGUAAUCUGACGUAAUGGUCCAUCAGCCAAGCAUGAUACACGAGCCUCUGCACCACCAAGAGACUGCAAAAACAGAAUUUACAAGAUAUCACUGAUUCUUGGACUACCAAGAUGUCUUACAACUUUUAAAGAUGAGAGAGUUCCAAGGAACCCACAUCAUCUGCAUUUACAACAAUGUGCAUAAAAUUAAAGUUGCUGUAUUGGCAACUGAGGAAAGAAGAUGGUACACAUCCAUUCUGAUUUGGCCCUGGUUUUUACUGUAUUUUCAGACAGACCAUGGUACUAUUUCAUGUAGUGUACAUGAACAUGGAUCUCUAUGGCAUCAACUAUGAUGUCAUAAAUAGGUGGAUUUUCAUGCUUAUUUGUCAAUACAGCAGACAAAACAUUUUCAAAGUAUUAUACAUGUAUAUAGAAAGCACAUGCAUCACCCACCAUGGUGUAAAACAGGAAAUUGAGCUGUAGACCCAUGUUUUGUUGCAGUUUUUGGAGAUAAGAGGCAAUAAAUGCAGUCAUGCCAUACAUGAUUUUUUUUAGAUAAAUGAACAUAGAAGAGUACCGUAGUAAAUACAUUUCCAUCGCAUAUUCCCUGGAAGCUCAAAAGCCCGACAUUCUUAGGGGCUAUCAUUCGGUGUCAUUUAAAGCUAGGUACCUUGUGUUAUUAUCAGUAUACAGACGUUAUCACUUACUUACAGAAACAAGUGCCUACCGGUACAUGUGAUACACACAGAAAUUCUUCACACCUGUCAUAGUUUCGAUAAAUUAUAUUUUCUGUACUCCUGACGAGAGAUACUUCGUAGAUGAACUUCAUCUGGACCAUCUGCAAGUCGCAGAACUCUGGCCCAGGAAAACAUUCCAGCAAGGAUAAAAUCUUCACUCAAACCACCUCCACCAUGAGCCUGGAAGGGAACCAGUUAACAAUUGAUUUCUAUUGCUUUAGUGAAUAUAGAAUGUGCAAAAGAAUAACAUGAUUUUGUGCAAUUUAAAUAUGUGUUCAACUGUAUUUAUACUGGCAAAAAAAAAAAAAUAAACAUCAAUUUAUGUA